CUUCAGGCUGACAAGUCCAAAAUAGGACGAAAUGUGCGUCCUGAAU
rnacentral:hammerhead_ribozyme from 1 species